GGCCUAUAUGAUUCCACAGGAAGACCCGAAAAAAAAUCUUCUCCGCUCUGUAUCGGAUUUCGAAUUCCGCCCCGUUAUCCGAAAUUCCGUUUUCAUAUAAUCGUCUUUCACUCUUUCUCCUCUAGCUCCGGCGAAACCGUUAAUUUAUAUCCCAAAUAAAUAUAACCUACCGCUGACAAUGGAAGAUCUCUAUCCAGAUCACAAACUAUGUGGUUUUCUCUCCGCAGUUGUUGCUCUUCCCUCACUCGAUCCUGCCUUAUCCUUUCUCUCUCCUUGCCAUGUGUUCGCCAACGGUGCCGAAAUUGGAUUCAAGGUCCAAAAUGGCGUUGUUCUCUUCCCAGUUACCUCCAGCAAGAUAGAUUGUGGUUCGCCCUUCCAGAGAAACGGCGAUGUUUUCUCGAGCAGUUCGAGUUCGGGGAAGAGAAGGUACAAGAGGGGAAUUGGAAUGGUGAAUGGGAGCUUGAGCGUGGUGCACCAGAUUCAGGCGUUGGUGGCAAGUAAGUGUAUCAAGAUUGUUGCGCGUGUUUUGAAGGUUGAGGUUUGCGAGAGUGGGGAAGGUGAGGCGAGGGCUGUGGUGCUUGUGGAUGUGUAUUUGCCUGUUGAGUUGUGGACUGGUUGGCAGUUUCCGAAAUCUGGGUCAGUUGCUGGAGCUCUGUUCAGGCACUUGAGUUGUGAUUGGGGGAAGAGAAGCUCAAUGCUUGCUGAUGAAAGUGGGUUUUUUAAGAAUGUGAACGGAGGUGACUCAAGUGUCCAGAAUCUUUCUGAUUGUCAUGUUCUUGGAUGUCAGUUGCAUUGUAGUGUCCCUGAUUCUUCAAAGAAAAGGCGUUUUGAACUUCAUGAAAUUUUCAAGGGCUUGCCUAGUGUGGCAAAUAAAGAAAAGUAUUAUUCUUCGAGAGUAAAACCAGCAGAUGACACUUCUGGGUCUGGUAUUUGGGAUCUAAAUGAUGAUAUUUUGACAAAUAUAUUAACUGUUCUUGGCCCUAUGGACCUUGUCAGGGUUGCAGCAACCUGUCACCAUUUGAGAUCUUUAGCUGCGUCAAUAAUGCCAUGCAUGAAACUUAAACUAUUUCCUCACCAGGAGGCAGCAGUUGAGUGGAUGUUGCAGCGUGAACAGAAUGCUCAAGUUUUGCCGCAUCCUCUAUACAUGAAUUUUUCAACUGAAGAUGGGUUCACAUUCUACGUAAAUACUGUAUCUGGUGAAUUAGUUACUGAAGUAGCUCCUAAAGUUAGAGAUUUUCAUGGGGGAAUGUUCUGUGAUGAACCUGGUUUGGGAAAGACUAUAACUGCCCUUUCCCUUAUACUGAAGACACAAGGAAAAAUUGCUGACCCGCCAGAUGGAGUUCAAAUAACCUGGUGUUCACAUAAUGGUGACCAGAUAUGCGGAUAUUAUGAGCUUAGCAGUGACAACUCCACCUGUAAUAGUGCACUUUUGGGGAAAAGAGCUAUGACCCAGAGCCUUCGUAGGACACUAUUAUCUUUGGACAAAAUGACUCCAAUGUAUGAUCUCAUCUUUUCUACACCUAAAAGAACAAAGUUAAUGGAUCCAAGUGAGCAAGUUGUGCAGUGUAAUGAGUCUUUUCCAGAUAAAGGAACGAAAUCGCUGUCAGCUCCAUGCUCAGAGCCAGCUGCACAUGUGUUUCGAUGCUCAAGGAGUUUGAGUCGUAUCAAGAAAAAUCUUCUCCAUGCAUAUGAAGAAGAAUCUGUAUUUGGCAGCAAAAGGAAUGCUGGAGGAAAAUCAACAAGGAGGCAAUGUGAUUUUAAUGUCCCUAAGUACACUUCUUGGGAUCAGCAUCUGGACAUGUCAUGUGGAAAGGCUACUGCAGAUUGUUUAGUUUAUAAUGAAACUUGGGUUCAGUGCGAUGCCUGUAGAAAGUGGAGGAAGCUUACAGAUGCUAUACCUAAUGCUACUGCUGCAUGGUUUUGUAGUAUGAACACUGACCCUGCUCAUCGGAGUUGCAAAGAUCCAGAAGAAGCUUGGGAUGGUUGUGAAUCUAUAACAUAUCUUCCAGGAUUUUACCCCAAAGGAACAUCUGGAGGAAAGGAGCAAAAUGUGUCAUUUUUCAUCAGUGUGCUUAAGGAUCAUUGUUCAGUGAUAAAUUCUAAAACAAAGAAAGCCUUAACUUGGCUGGCAAAACUUUCUCCAGAAAGACUUUCUCAAAUGGAAACAAUUGGUUUGAUAAGUCCAAUCUUAGACACUUGUUCUUUAUCUGGUACUGGAAAUGUGCAAGCAUAUCAUAAAAUAUUUCAAUCAUUUGGUCUUAUAAAAAGAGUAGAAAAGGGUGUUAGUAGGUGGUAUUACCCACCGACUCUUGAAAACUUGGCAUUUGAUGUGGAUGCUCUUAAAAUUGCUCUCUGCAAUCCAUUGAAUUCCAUCAGGUUAUAUUUGUCAAGAGCAACUUUAAUUGUGGUUCCAGCAAAUCUGGUUGAUCAUUGGAAAACCCAAAUCCAAAAGCAUGUCAAACCUGAGCAGUUGAGGGUUUGCAUCUGGACUGAUCAUAAAAAGCCUUCUGCUCACAGUCUGGCAUGGGAUUAUGAUGUUGUUAUAACUACCUUUAAUCGUUUGAGUGCAGAGUGGGGUUCCAGUAAAAAAAGUCCUCUUAUGCAAGUCCAUUGGCUUAGGGUCAUGCUAGAUGAGGGUCACACUCUUGGUUCUAGUCUUAACUUGACAAACAAAUUGCAAAUGGCUAUUUCAUUGAUGGCUACAAAUCGAUGGUUGCUAACGGGGACCCCAACACCUAAUAUGCCCAAUAGUCAGCUGUCACAUCUUCAGCCAAUGCUUAAGUUCCUACAUGAGGAAGUGUAUGGGCAGAAUCAGAAGUCCUGGGAAGCUGGCAUUCUUAGGCCAUUUGAAGCAGAGAUGGAAGAAGGUCACUCACGUUUGUUGCAAUUGCUGCAUAGGUGCUUGAUUAGUGCUAGAAAGAAAGAUUUGAAAACCAUUCCUCCAUGCAUCAAGAAGGCGACAUUUCUUAAUUUCACUGAGGAGCAUGCAAGAAGUUAUAAUGAAUUGGUAGUUACUGUACAGCGGAAUAUACUAAUGGCUGACUGGAAUGAUCCUUCUCAUGUUGAAAGUUUGCUUAACCAAAAGCAAUGGAAGUUUCGAAGCGCUACAAUUAGAAAUGUCAGGCUAUCUUGCUGUGUGGCAGGGCAUAUUAAAGUGACAGAUGCAGGUGAAGAUAUUCAGGAAACAAUGGACAUUUUAGUUGAAAAGGGCCUGGAUCCCAUUUCAGAGGAGUAUGCUUUAAUAAAGUAUUAUCUACAAUAUGGUGGCAACUGCCUAAGAUGUGAGGAAUGGUGCCGACUUCCUGUUGUCACACCAUGUAGGCAUCUUUUGUGCCUUGACUGUGUUGGUCUGGAUAGUGAAAAGUGUACAUUUCCUGGCUGUGGUAACUUAUAUGAGAUGCAGACUCCUGAAAUAUUAACACGGCCAGAAAAUCCCAACCCAAAGUGGCCUGUCCCCAAAGAUCUUAUAGAGUUACAACCUUCAUAUAAACAGGAUGACUGGGAUCCUGAUUGGCAAUCAACAUCUAGCAGUAAAGUUUCUUAUCUUGUACAGAGGCUGAAAGCAUUGCAGGAAGCUAAUAUGGAGAGUGAUCGCUCUAUUGACAAGGAAAGAGGUGCCUGGAACAUUGAGCAACCUUGCCCCUCUCUGAUGUGUGAUUCAAGUGCACUGUUGCAGGACUGCUCUAGACAGUGUUCUGAGUCUUACAAGGCAGCUACGAAAAAAGUUCUUAUAUUUUCUCAGUUUCUUGAACAUAUACAUGUGAUUGAACAGCAGUUAACAUUUGCUGGAAUCAAAUUUGCUGGGCAUUAUAGUCCAAUGCACUCGAGCAACAAGAUGAAGUCACUAUCCACGUUCCAGCAUGAUGCAACAUGUAUGGCUCUUUUAUUGGAUGGAAGUGCUGCCUUGGGUCUUGACUUGAGCUUUGUAACACAUGUAUUCUUAAUGGAGCCAAUCUGGGACAGAAGCAUGGAGGAACAAGUGAUUAGUCGUGCUCAUAGAAUGGGUGCUACUCGUCCCAUUCACGUGGAAACUUUAGCAAUGCGUGGUACAAUCGAAGAGCAAAUGUUGGAAUUCCUAAAGGAUGCUGAUGAAUGUAGGAAAUUAUUGAAAGAAGAGUUUGGAAAACCUGACCAUCAGGGGGCAAGACCUCAUCGUUCACUACAUGAUUUUGCUGAGCGCAACUAUUUGGCCCAGCUUAGCUUUGUUCAUACUAAUCCUAGAACAUAAAAGUUAUUGUGAUGCUGAUCUACAUCAAGUGGGAUAUGAGGAUCAUACCAAAUUCAGUUUAGUUUUUUGAUGAAAAUUAUAGGUUGAUUAUUAGGUAAAUUACAAUGAAAUCUCUGAGGUUUAGCAAAACUCACAAAUUAAACCUCUGGUGCAAGUUUGAUAACGAUUUGGUCCUUAAAUUUUAUUUCCGUUAACAAUUUAGUCCCCACAUUUUACUUCUGUUAACAAAUUGAUCCCUAUGACAUGAAUUUUAAGCACCAAUUUGUUAAUAAAAAUAAAAUGCGAGGACCAAAGUGUUAACGGAAAUAAAUUUGAGGACCAAAUCAUUACUAAACUUACACCAAGGAUUAAUAUGUGAUUUUUGUUAAAUCUCAAGGACUUAAUUGUAAGUUACCCUUGAUUAUUUUGGAAUUAGCUGAUUCCUAAUGUGUAACGAUCAGAUCUUUAAUAUUACCACUGAAAUUUUCAUGGAAGACCUUUUAUAUUUGAUGCUCUUGCUCUAUUAGCAGAGCCCGUUCAAAGUUGAUCUUGUUUGUUGGGUCACUCAAGAGAGCUGUUUAUCCAACUGAUUUGGGUGAGGACACUUGGAGAUGUCUUUGAAGUUGUAGUGGCCAUGCCCAUCUGUGUAUAGUAAAGGAAAUUGACUUGAAUCCAUACAAGGCGACUGAUUUGUAUCAAAACUAACUCAUUUUUUAUUUACGGAGGAGAGAUCUAUGAUCAUUAAUCAUUUAUCUUUAUUUUUGAAGCGAAUACAAUUAACUCCAGCCUAAAGUGUAUGUAUGAUUUGUAAACUUCUAUUAUCAUUUAUAUCUUAGGGCUACCAAAUU
rnacentral:misc_RNA from 1 species